AGUGAAGGUCAAAUUUCUGUAUUUUGUCUUUUCUACCAUGAAGGAAGUGGUACGAUGCCUAGUAAGCACCGUUUAACUUGGGAGGUAAUGUAUACUUCAUUCAGAUUCACUGCACUGAAUUCAACAGUGUUCCCUGCCUUCCCUGGGGCUGCCAAGCCCUUGCUGCACAGGAGAUUUUACAGCUGAAAUGAAGAUAUGCUGCACAAAUUCAGCUAAAACACAAAGGCGAACAAGUGAAGAGGACAAAUGGUUGCAUUUUGAAUUGGUGAAUUUUAUAAACAGACUCAUAUAUUGGCUUUGAUUUUGAGGAAAUUGGUUUAUCUGAGAAGUUCUAGAAGGUUAACCCGAUAGAAAGACGCUUUCCAGGCAAUUUUUCUUCGAAUAAAAAAACCCCUUUAACGUCCUAUUAUUAUUUAUAACUAGUGCUACAAAUGUGAGUUAUCUUUGCUUUAAUAGCAUAUCAAUGUGACUCUCUCAUAAUUCCUAAUGAUUUAAGACCCUAGAGGUUUCCAAGAUCAUUGAGUGAAAUUUGAAAAACAGUUAACACAAAAGAGCAGGAGGUAGUCCUGUGCGGGAUGCUUAAUUAAAACUUUUCUCGGAGAGAAAGAAAAAUUAAUUCUUUUCAUUUGCAGCAAUGAACUUAUUUUUUCCCCCCCAAGUCUUAAAGUCACCAACCAGAAGUUUAGCUAUUUUGCUAAAAGCUUUCUACAUAUUUAGUAACUUAAUGAUAGACUCUAAAAUAUUUGCCAGGAGAAUAUGCCAACUUUUCUCCUAGUCCAAAUAUGGGUGCUUCAUAGAUGGUACUAGACAUUCACCUUAGUCCAGACGCACUUUUAUAUGUGGAAAUAGCUUCUUUUGGUCAUAAAAUUUCAUUUGGGGUGUGCUUUGGAGUUUGUUUUGUUAUCUCACCAUGUUUUCAGUUAGAAAGACAAGUUGUUCCUCCCUAUCUCCAAUCUAGAUCCUUAGUUCAGCUGAUAGUCUACUCAGAUAAUUUGGUGUCAUGAUUUUGAUUAUAUUGCCUACUUAUUAUAAUAAAUCACCUUUGAGUAAUAA